rnacentral:rRNA from 2 species
AGAGUUUGAUCCUGGCUCAGGACGAACGCUGGCGGCGUGCCUAAUACAUGCAAGUAGAACGCUGAAGAGAGGAGCUUGCUCUUCUUGGAAGAGUUGCGAACGGGUGAGUAACGCGUAGGUAACCUGCCUUGUAGCGGGGGAUAACUAUUGGAAACGAUAGCUAAUACCGCAUAACAAUGGGUGACCCAUGUCAUUCAUUUGAAAGGGGCAACUGCUCCACUACAAGAUGGACCUGCGUUGUAUUAGCUAGUAGGUGAGGUAACGGCUCACCUAGGCGACGAUACAUAGCCGACCUGAGAGGGUGAUCGGCCACACUGGGACUGAGACACGGCCCAGACUCCUACGGGAGGCAGCAGUAGGGAAUCUUCGGCAAUGGGGGCAACCCUGACCGAGCAACGCCGCGUGAGUGAAGAAGGUUUUCGGAUCGUAAAGCUCUGUUGUAAGUCAAGAACGAGUGUGAGAGUGGAAAGUUCACACUGUGACGGUAGCUUACCAGAAAGGGACGGCUAACUACGUGCCAGCAGCCGCGGUAAUACGUAGGUCCCGAGCGUUGUCCGGAUUUAUUGGGCGUAAAGCGAGCGCAGGCGGUUUGAUAAGUCUGAAGUUAAAGGCUGUGGCUCAACCAUAGUUCGCUUUGGAAACUGUCAAACUUGAGUGCAGAAGGGGAGAGUGGAAUUCCAUGUGUAGCGGUGAAAUGCGUAGAUAUAUGGAGGAACACCGGUGGCGAAAGCGGCUCUCUGGUCUGUAACUGACGCUGAGGCUCGAAAGCGUGGGGAGCGAACAGGAUUAGAUACCCUGGUAGUCCACGCCGUAAACG